AGCGAUAUCGGUUGUGAAAUCACCUCUCCAGUUGUGAUAUAAGCUCUUCAGAUUAAUGUGUCAGCGAAGCCUUAAUCCGGAGGAUUGAUUCUAGUAUGUCCUUCAUGUGUUCAUUAAAAUUGGUGGUGUAACAUACUAUUGGUGCAAAAAAAACAGGAUUGCAAGAUUGUUGUGAUGAACAAAUAUAACUUUCAACAGCAAUUUUGUUCAAACAAAGGGAAAGGUAGCAUUAUUAGUAUCGGGUCUAAUCCCACUAGUUUAUUUGUGGUGGAUGGAAAGCUUGUUUUUCAAUAGUGUAUCAUCCUGUUCGUUAUUUCUCUAUAGGGGGAAUGGUUUGUGUGGUUGCUGAGGAGAAAUGGAUUCCCAUGCUUCUCUUGAUCUGGUCCUCUAUCUUCCCUUUUGAUAUGGCCUCUAUAUACUGUUUUUUAAGCUCUUUUUCUUCCGUCUGUUGGCAGCUUAAGU
rnacentral:lncRNA from 1 species